AAAGUGCAGAAACCACCAAGGUCUGAUGUGGUGAAGCAUGAGUUUUAUUGAGGCUCCUUAGAGGGACAGAAAUGGCUCCAAUGACAGAAGUACCAGCUGCAUCACUUCAGCCCCCCAAGCACGGGUGACAGCUCACAAAAGCUGGAGCUCACUGACAGCCUGCAGGCAGUUCCGAAGGUUGGAGCAUCCCUCGCAAGCAGCUCAGCGCGUCUCUGGGUCUUCCAGGAAGCUCCACCGGUCUCAGCCCCUUCUAGGGCUGGGAGGCUGUGCCUUCAACGAAAAAAGAAAAACAUCGAAGAGUACUCCUGUUCCUUGAGUAUGCGCCGAGGCCUGGUCCGGGUGCAGAGCAUCGAGCACUCGGGACCUAAAGCCAGUCCCACCCACCUUGGAUGGCCCGCCUACUUCUCCUGAGACUCCACCUCACCAGGAGGGGCCUCCAGCACCUGGCCCCGAAAGCUCCGCCCCAUCCUGGAGGCUCCGUCCCCAUCCUCAGGAUGUCCCGCCCC